rnacentral:rRNA from 1 species
UACGUAGGGGGCAAGCGUUGUCCGGAUUUAUUGGGCGGAAAGAGCGUGUAGGCGGCUAUGCAGGUCCGUUGUGAAAACUCGAGGCUCAACCUCGAGACGCCGAUGGAAACCGCAUGGCUAGAGUCCGGAAGAGGAGAGUGGAAUUCCUGGUGUAGCGGUGAAAUGCGCAGAUAUCAGGAAGAACACCCGUGGCGAAGGCGGCUCUCUAGUACGGUACUGACGCUGAGACGCGAAAGCGUGGGGAGCGAACAGG